UUCAUGUAAUUUUCCAGAAAUAUUCUAUAGCAAUUAACAUGAGGGAAAGGAAAUGGCUUUCUUUUCUUGGGUAUGAGAUUUGAUGGGACCUUAGCAACACUCAACCAUCUGGAUGGCAGGUGUUCUUUAUUGAAGUUCUGUUGGUUGUAUUGUGCAAAAUGCAGUAUUCUUUAUUGACUAUUGGUUUUAUUGUGCAAAAUGUCAUUAUCGUUAUAUGCUUAUUGUUUGUUUAUUCUUAUAUCUUUUCUCAGAAUGUUGCCCUUAGGGAGAAAAUGACAGAGGUUGAAGAUAGUGAUUUAGAAGGCUGAUCUUUGGAUUCCUUUUCUUUUGUUUCAACAAGUGAUCAUCAAACAUCUCAAGGCAUGGAGCAGGAUCUAGUUAUGGUAUUUAUCUUUUUUUUUUUUCCUUCAACAAUUUAAGAAAUUGAUUCUAAUUAAGGUUUGUGUUUCUAAUAUUAGGUUCAUUUGCUUUGUGUUGCUUGCUCCUCCAAAGGGCCAUUGGCACAUGCUUUGCCUAACAUAACAUCGGAGCUUUACAACCUAGGAGUAAGUAUUGCAUGUUCAGUUGUGAUUACCCAUAUUCUUUCCAAGAUUUGCACUACAGCACAUUUAUUGCUAUUGGUAAAUUUUAUUAGAUACUUUCAAAAUGGGUCAGAGAUUUGGCUACGGAACCACCAUUGCUCUUUAACAAUUCUUUUGAGGAUGCUUUUCGGCAAUAUACGGUUUCUUCCCCAAUAUCUCAAUUUUGGAAAGCUAGUGCUGAUUUUGUUUGGGAGAAUAUUCUCUCUUCCGAGUUCCCGUUAUUUGAAUGACUUUGAGGAAAUCUCCACUGGUUCAUGGUGGCUUUGGUCAUGUUGUGUUGUGCAAAAAUAAACUAGAUGGGUGGCGAUAUGCGGUGAAGAAGAUUUGGCUGAAGGAUAAA